GUGGAUUUUCCUCCUAUGAUUA
rnacentral:miRNA from 1 species